CGGUAUACCGAGUGAUUAACUUAUAUCUUUAGGUAAAAAGACAGUUAGGUUUAUAGAAAUUGAUUUUAGUUUAUUAAACAUCUAUAAAAAAGUAAAAUUUGUAUAUAGAUAGCUAAUUUMGAAAUAACUAUGUAUACUGAAGCUGUGAUAGUCUUGAGGGAAACUGGGAUUAGAUACCCCAUUAUUCUUGAUUUUAAAUAUAAUUAAAUUUACCAGAGUACUAUGAAUAGUUAAAAAUUUAAAACUCAAAGGGCUUGGCGGUGUUUUAGACCUAUCAGGGGAACCUGUCUCGUAAUCGACAAUCCACGUAAUAUCUAACCUUAUUUUGUAAACAGUUUGUAUACCGUCGUCGUCAGGUAACUUUUAAAAAUAUAGAAGUUAGCAAUUAAAACUUAUUAGUUAAAACGUCAGAUCAAGGUGCAGCCUAUAGUGAGGAGAGGAUGGGUUACAGUUAUAAAAAUUAUAAUUACGGAAAUUUAAAUGGAACUUAUUUUGAAGGAGGACUUGAAAGUAAACUAAWGUACAUAAAUAGCUUGAAUAAGGCUCUG
rnacentral:rRNA from 1 species